AGCAAAAUAAGCUAAACAAGCUACUGGGCCCAUACCCCAAAAAUGUUGGUUAAACCCCAUCUUUUGCAC
rnacentral:tRNA from 1 species